GCCGGAGUGGUGGAACUGGAAGACGCGUCGGACUCAAAAUCCGAUGGAGCUUGCCUCUGUGCGGGUUCAAGCCCCGCCUCCGGCACCA
rnacentral:tRNA from 5 species